rnacentral:lncRNA from 1 species
AACUAAACAACCCCAAAAUAACUCAGUAAUCUGACCUAUUAUCUGUAACAUGGCAGUGUCCCUUUUAGGAACAAAAAAGUAGCAUGCAUUGUUCAAAUACUUUAAAAGAAAUAUUAAUUUUAGGGAUAUUAGUAAGAAAUUCUUUUAAAUAAUAAACCCCAAGAAUCUCAAGCAGUGAGCAACUGAAAAACAUACUGGUCAGUGGGUAUUUAACAAAAGAACUGUAAAACUGUGUUUAUGUUUAAAACCCCUUUCUGUUGGGGUCAUUUACAACAGAAGAAAGUGUGUAUAUUUAUGCACCAUUUCCAAGCACAUCAAACAGUACACAUUGAAGUUUUUGUGGAUUUUUUUAACCCACAAGGUAAAACAACACAAAAUCAUCAACGAGCAGUAUUUUAAACAAACUUCAAUGCAUAUCUUCAGCUUUUUUUGGGUAGUACAGGUUUACAUCUUUCAGUUUCUACUUAUUUGUAACAGCUCAUGGCAAAACUUAACAUAAAUCAUUUCACAAGUACAGCCAUCAUGGAAAUACAUGGAUUUUCAGAGAUGAAUAGUUUUGAUGGCAUCUGCCUUUUCAUGGUAAAACUACUGGUCCGUGCUCUCUUGCUUUACGGCAAGAAGACAACAAAGCUAUCACAAGAAUUGAAAGAGCUACGAGUACUAUCAACACAGUCAGGUUGAUUGCUUUGACAUUUUCUUCCUCAUUCUGGGAAAUAAAAAGCUUUGGAUUUCAUUCCUUAGUUGAAUCGGAUGCCCACUCUUUGCUUUAAACCUCCUCCAUUUUAACUGAGAGGUUUUCUUCAUUUGGUUGACAGUUCCCAUUCUGUUGUAGUUUGACUUCAUCUGUCCUUUCUGUAUCUCUGUUGUCUACCUCCUUGUCAGUUUCUGAAUUCUGAUCCUCUUUAGUGUGAUCUUUCUUACCUUCAAAGUACUGGUGCUUUUGUCAGAUUUCUCCUUUCCCUCUUUUUCUUUACUACUUUUUUUCUUGGAGGUGGAGCGUUC